rnacentral:rRNA from 1 species
GACGAACGCUGGCGGCGUGCUUAACACAUGCAAGUCGAACGGUAAGGCCCCAGCUUGCUGGGGUACACGAGUGGCGAACGGGUGAGUAACACGUGGGUGACCUGCCCCGCACUUCGGGAUAAGCCUGGGAAACUGGGUCUAAUACCGGAUAGGACCGCACCGUGAGGGUGUGGUGGAAAGUUAUUCGGUGUGGGAUGGGCCCGCGGCCUAUCAGCUUGUUGGUGGGGUAAUGGCCUACCAAGGCGGCGACGGGUAGCCGGCCUGAGAGGGUGGACGGCCACAUUGGGACUGAGACACGGCCCAGACUCCUACGGGAGGCAGCAGUGGGGAAUAUUGCACAAUGGGCGGAAGCCUGAUGCAGCGACGCCGCGUGGGGGAUGACGGCCUUCGGGUUGUAAACUCCUUUCACCAUCGACGAAGGUUUUCUGACGGUAGAUGGAGAAGAAGCACCGGCUAACUACGUG